AUUGAACGCUGGCGGCAGGCUUAACACAUGCAAGUCGAGCGGGGUGAUGGUGCUUGCACUAUCACUUAGCGGCGGACGGGUGAGUAAUGCUUAGGAAUCUGCCUAUUAGUGGGGGACAACAUCUCGAAAGGGAUGCUAAUACCGCAUACGUCCUACGGGAGAAAGCAGGGGAUCACUUGUGACCUUGCGCUAAUAGAUGAGCCUAAGUCGGAUUAGCUAGUUGGUGGGGUAAAGGCCUACCAAGGCGACGAUCUGUAGCGGGUCUGAGAGGAUGAUCCGCCACACUGGGAACGAUACACGGCCCAGACUCCUACGGGAGGCAGCAGUGGGGAAUAUUGGACAAUGGGGGGAACCCUGAUCCAGCCAUGCCGCGUGUGUGAAGAAGGCCUUAUGGUUGUAAAGCACUUUAAGCGAGGAGGAGGCUCUUUUGGUUAAUACCCAAGAUGAGUGGACGUUACUCGCAGAAUAAGCACCGGCUAACUCUGUGCCAGCCGCCGCGGUAA
rnacentral:rRNA from 1 species